GGAGGGCGCUUACCACUUUGUGAUUCAUGACUGGGGUGAAGUCGUAACAAGGUAACCGUAGGGGAACCUGCGGUUGGAUCACCUCCUUACCUGAAAGAA
rnacentral:rRNA from 2 species